CGUAGGGUGCGAGCGUUAAUCGGAAUUACUGGGCGUAAAGCGUGCGCAGGCGGUUUUGUAAGACAGGCGUGAAGUCCCCGGGCUCAACCUGGGAACUGCGCUUGUGACUGCAAGGCUAGAGUACGGCAGAGGGGGGUGGAAUUCCACGUGUAGCAGUGAAAUGCGUAGAGAUGUGGAGGAACACCAAUGGCGAAGGCAGCCCCCUGGGUCGAUACUGACGCUCAUGCACGAAAGCGUGGGUAGCAAACAGGAUUAGAUACCCUGGUAGUCCACGCCCUAAACGAUGUCAACUAGGUGUUGGGUGGGUAAAACCAUUUAGUACCGGAGCUAACGCGUGAAGUUGACCGCCUGGGGAGUACGGCCGCAAGGUUA
rnacentral:rRNA from 1 species